AGAGAGAAAUAGAGAGAGAACCCACGUGUUUCCCUGCGUAGCAUCACGUUCGGCGCGAUGUUGGCACACGAAUCGUGUGGCAGUUACGCGAUACCUCUUGAGCCGUGUGGAUGUUGUCGAUUCUUCUCAUUGGGAGGCCACGGACGUCGCAGAUGACGCGUCUCGACAUUGAUAUGACGGGGAAUAGGAUUUUCCGUUUUUCGAAUUGUUACUAUGACACACGAUUUUCUCCCCUUUAGGAGAUAAUCCAACUAAUCGUAUUCGAAUUUUGUAGCUUUUGUAGCUUUCUUUUCUUGUAAAAUAUAGUAAACGUUAAAGAAUCGGCCAAGAUCUUUUUCUUUUUUUCAUAGAAUUCAGUUGAUAAUUUUUCAAAGGCCAGAUAUAUGAAUCUAAAAGUUUCUCGAUUCCCUUUGGCAUCUUCAUUCAUUACUAAUGUCACGAUAUUGCCCCAUAAUGUCCAUCGGAAAAGAAUUUAUUAAUUUUAAUUAUAUGCUAUUGAAUUUAUUAAUCAAUAUUUUCUUUAAUUCGCGAUUGCUCUCUCUCUCUCUCUCUCUUCUCUAUCACAAGAAUGAAAAUGAUAUAAAGUAAGCGCGAAAUAUAACAGAAAUAGGAAUAGAUAGAGCAACUGCGAUUGGAAAUCAAAUCCGGGAGACUUUCGCUUAUCGGACGGCUGUUUCUCCACUAACAAUAAGCCACACUGUGGAAGUGUUUUUCCCCAGCUUCGCGUCAUGCCAUAUUUUCCUCGCGAAGUCGCCGCUAUACACGGUGAUAUCGCCUCGACGAAAAUCUUCCCGCGCCGCGCUCGCCGUGUAAAUCGAACGUUCGAUAACGGACGGUGGCGAGAGAAGGAGGGAGCGUGCGAGCGAGCAAACGAACGAGCAAGGGACGAUCUGGCAACAACGCCGAGUCGCAGUGCCGGAAUUGAAUUUCAAGCGCCCGAGGGACAGAAGAGGGGGCGGACCGACCGGCGCGGCCCUUUCUCUUUUGUAUAGGGGGCACGAGGCGCAUAACGAUUGCUGUCCGGCACGCUCUACUGGAUGUCCUAAAA
rnacentral:lncRNA from 1 species